UGAAAGAUAGCAGAGAUGCUGUCAAGAACGAUAAAGCCUCAAAAUCCUCAGCUGUUAGCUCUCUCCCACUCAUUCUUGAUGUGGAUGACUUUAAGAAUGAACCAAAGAGGGUGGAUUGCGCUCGAUAGCCGCUUGAGUAAUUAAUCUCAAGAAGGAGGUCUCUGUCCAAGAUUCUAAGCACCGCAAGACACUCGCUGAGCUGGAAAAAGGUGUAGAUGGAUUGUUUGAUAGCUUUGCAAGGUUGGACUCACGUAUUUCAAGUGUUGGACAGACUGCUGCAAAGAUCGGAGAUCAUUUGCAGAGUGCAGAUGCUCAGCGAGAAACUGCUAGUCAAACAAUAGAGCUUAUAAAGUAUUUGAUGGAGUUCAACAGCAGCCCAGGAGACCUAAAAUCGCUUGGAGUCAUAGGCUUUCUUAUCCUUUUCAGUGGUGUUUGUCCUUGUGUAGAACUGGAGAACAGAUUGCUUGCUCGUUUUGAUGCAGCAUCACAGCGGAGAGAAUUGUCUUCAAUGGCUGAAUGUGCUAAAAUUUUAUCUCAGGUAAAUACUUUUGUUAGGUCUGAUAUGUAAUAAUUUAAUUAUUAUUGAUUUUAAACUUAAUAGCUUCAUUAAGUAGCUCUUCCUUCCCUC